rnacentral:rRNA from 1 species
GAUGAACGCUGGCGGCGUGCCUAAUACAUGCAAGUCGAGCGAAUGGAUUGAGAGCUUGCUCUUAUGAAGUUAGCGGCGGACGGGUGAGUAACACGUGGGUAACCUGCCCAUAAGACUGGGAUAACUCCGGGAAACCGGGGCUAAUACCGGAUAACAUUUUGAACCGCAUGGUUCGAAAUUGAAAGGCGGCUUCGGCUGUCACUGAUGGAUGGACCCGCGUCGCAUUAGCUAGUUGGGGAGGUAACGGCUCACCAAGGCAACGAUGCGUAGCCGACCUGCGAGGGUGAUCGGCCACACUGGGACUGAGACACGGCCCAGACUCCUACGGGAGGCAGCAGUAGGGAAUCUUCUGCAAUGGACGAAAGUCUGACGGAGCAACGCCGCGUGAGUGAUGAAGGCUUUCGGGUCGUAAAACUCUGUUGUUAGGGAAGAACAAGUGCUAGUUGAAUAAGCUGGCACCUUGACGGUACCUAACCAGAAAGCCACGGCUAACUACGUGCCAGCCGCCGCCGUAA